rnacentral:rRNA from 1 species
CCUACGGGUGGCAGCAGUGGGGAAUAUUGCACAAUGGGCGAAACUCUGAUGCAGCGACGCCGCGUGAGUGAAGAAGUAAUUCGUUAUGUAAAGCUCUAUCAGCAGGGAAGAAAAUGACGGUACCUGAGUUAGAAGCCCCGGCUAACUCCGUGCCAGCAGCCGCGGUAAUACGUAGGGGGCAAGCGUUCUCCGGAUUUACAGGGUGUAAAGGGAGCGUAGACGGCAGUGCAAGUCUGUAGUGAAAGGCGGGGGCUCAACCCCCGGACUGCUCUGGAAACUGUACGGCUGGAGUGCAGGAGAGGUAAGUGGAAUUCCUAGUGUAGCGGUGAAAUGCGUAGAUAUAAGGAGGAACACCAGUGGCGAAGGCGGCUUACUGGACUGUAACUGACGUUGAGGCUCGAAAGCGUGGGGAGCAAACAGGAUUAGAUACCCCAGUAGUC